GACGAACGCUGACGGCGUGCUUAACACAUGCAAGUCGAAGGGAGUGGCGAACGGGUGAGUAAUAUGUGAGUAUCCUGCCCUUUUCUUUGGGAUAAGCCUGGGAAACUGGGACUAUUACUGGAUGGUUUGGGAUGGGCUCGCGGCUUAUCCGCUUGUUUGUGGGGUGAUGGCUUACCAAGGCUUUGACGGGUAGCAGGCCUGAGAGAGUGGUCGGUCACACUGGGACUGAGAUGCGGCCCAGACUCCUACGGGAGGCAGCAGUGGGGGCUAUUGGACAAUGGACGAAAGUCGGAUGCAGCGUCGUCGUGUGGGGGAUGAAGGCCUUCAGGUUGUGUACUCCUUUCGCCCGCGGAAUGGUAGUGGGUGAAGAAGCGCCGGCUAACUCCGUGCCAGCCGCCGCGGUAAUAC
rnacentral:rRNA from 1 species